rnacentral:rRNA from 1 species
UAUUUUAAUCUAUUCAGAGGAAUUUGUUUUAUAAUCGAUAAUCCACGAUGGACCUUACUUAAAUUUGUAAUCAGUUUAUAUACCGUCGUUAUUAGAAUAUUUUAUUAGAAAGAUAAUUUUCUUAAUUUUUAAAAAGAAAAAAUAUCAGAUCAAGGUGUAGUUUAUAUUUAAGUAAAAAUGAAUUACAAUAAAAUUAUUUAUAUGAAUAUAAAUUUGAAAUAUUUAUUGAAGGUGGAUUUGAUAGUAAAAUUAUAUAGAUUAAUAAUUUGAUUUUAGUUCUAAAAUAUGCACACAUCGCCCGUCGCUCUUAUUAUUAAGAUAAGAUAAGUCGUAACAAAGUAGAUGUACUGGAAGGUGUAUCUAGAAUACAAUUUAAAGCUUAUUAAGUAAAGUAUUUCAUUUACAUUGAAAAGAUUUUUGUGCAAAUCGAUAUAAAUUGAUUAGAUUUUAUUUAUUAAUAUUUUAUUUAUUUAUAUUUUUAUAUUAAAAGUAAUUAUAAUAAAUCAUUUUUAGUAUUUUAUAAAGAAAAAAUAUUUUAAAUAAUAGUUUAAUAGAAUUGUAAAAUAAUAU